UUAAACUCUCUCAUCUCCUUUCUUCUCUCUCAACCUAACACUAGACUCUGUCAAUCGCCUCUUUCUCCGGUCAUCUCCAGCGACCACCUUUCAACCCCAAGCCUCCAAUGGGUCUCUUAUUGCCUUGCUCAUCAUCUCUAAGGCCUUCAAGGAUCCUGGGCCAUGCUGAUUUGGACUUAAGGUUUCUGCUUCUAUUGUUCGAGGCAUCUCUGGUGUGAAUUUUUUGCAAAAUCACACCAUAUAUAUUACGAUCGGUGAUGUUUGCAGCAGGCUCUUUCGUUCCUAUUUGGGUUUCCUUUGAAACCCUAAUUCUCAUUUUCAUCUCUUAAGAUCUGUGUUAUUUUUUAAUGCUUAGGGUCUAUUUCUUCCUAUGAUUUGCACUAUUCUCGAACUUCUUCUAAAAUAUCAUCAACUUUAAACCAUUUUACUCUCUUUAAAAUUAGGGUUUCUCGGAGUUACUCGUGCACUUGUUUUAAUUUUUUUUCUUUAUGAUUAAACCUCAUCCCUCACUUAUCUUGACUGAUCCUGUGUUCCUACUAUUUUUUUAACUUGACUCUGUUAAAAGCCCUAAUUUUAGACGUUCUUUGCUUUGAUUCAGUGUGUUAGCCAUGACUACUUGAUUUUGGUAAGUAUUUGUUAGUUACCAUGAUUCGAAUGGGUUUUCCACUGUAUCUUUAGCAUACUCAUGUCACUUCUGUAUGAUUCUGUUCAAUUUGUUUGUUCAUCUCUUGCAUCUUUCUGUCGAUAUGGUGGACCUUGCCUGUUUGCUACGUCUGUUCAUUCGUAUCUGUUUGUAUGUUGAAAAUACAAAAUCAAUACUCCUCCUUCACUGAUUUUGAUUUCCUUAAUUGAUGGUGAUUGAAAGAUUUUCUUUUAUAACACAAAAAGCCUUACCUCGUCUUUUAAGCUGACUGAUUUUAUUACCAUAUUUUCUGUGAUACUUUAAUUCUACUGAGUCGUGUCCUUAAUUAAGGUUUUAUGAAUUUAGUCCUAGCUGACUACACUAUCCUUACUGAACCUUGAUUCCUUCCUUAUUUAGUCAUGCACUGAUUUUUCAUCUUGCCUUAUAUGAUACUGAAUCUUCCCAUUUGAUUUGAUUCCCUUAACUCAAGGGAGUACAUCCUUGAUUCUCUAAAUGAUUGAUUCUAAGUUCCUAAGUUAUUAUGCUACCAUGAUUCUUACCUUAUUUCACAACCUAUUUUCAACUAUAACUACCCUAAGACUUUCAUUAACAAGAGGACACUGGGGGUUUUCAAGAACUACCUCUCUUACUAAAAAUCCAUGCUCUAUAUUUCUCUUAUGCUAUUUGCUACUAUUAGCUGGCUGCAAGCCAAGGCUAAUCAUCUGUGCUCUUUAGUUCUUUAAUUCUGCUUACUUUUAUCUUCACUGGUAUGUCAUAGCUUUGAUUUAAAGCUUUAACAACAAUAUGCUUCUCUUAUUGUUUCAGUUUCUUUUAUUUCUUACUUGCCUCUACUUGUGAUUCUGUUGUGAAACUUGUAGUUACGUUACAUUAUCAGCAUGCUAUUAUGUCUCCCUUUCCCUUUAGAUUAAUGUAUUUACCUAUGUGUUUCAAAGCAUGCCUUGUCAGUUGUCUUUUAAUUCUUGUGUGCUUACCAUCCUAUGCAACCAAAUGUCUAUGUAUUCCCAAACCCCUUGACCGCUGUGUGACUAUUGA
rnacentral:lncRNA from 1 species